rnacentral:tRNA from 1 species
GAAAUAUUAGUCUAACCUAAAGACAGUUGAUUUCGACUCAGCAGAUUAUGAUCCACCCCAUAAUAUUUCU